rnacentral:tRNA from 1 species
GGCGAGGUAGCUCAGCUGGUUAGAGCACGCGGCUCAUACCCGCGGCGUCGACGGUUCGAAUCCGUCCCUCGCUACCA